CUUGAAGAUAUGAUAAUUUAUAAAGUUGCUUGCUCUUGAUCCAUUAUUUCCUUUUAUUUUAUUUAUUUUGGUAACUCUACAUCAAAUUGAUUUUUGUUUUGUAGUAUUGUUAUUUGACUGCAUUUAUUGGUGAACUGUUUAUUACCAUGUAAACUGGGCAGUAAAACUUCAUGGUGUCAUCUUUAGAGACAUGUUUGAAUCCCAGUUACAUCUGGGAUGAAAUGGUUAAGAGGCUUACCCCAGAUACCUAGCUGCUGAAAAAAAGAAAAAAGAAGAGAGAGAUUAUUUGCAUUUAGUUUGUCUAAUUUAUGAUGAUUUUACGUCCCUUUAUUUUAGUGGAUCAUUUCUACUUUUCUGAACUUUGGCUGUAUUUCAUGGUCUGUUAAUUUACCGUAAUUUGUAAUUACAUUAAUGUAUUUUUGUAUUAUUUCAUUUCCUUUCUUGUGCAAUUUUUUGUUGUAUUAAAUAGUUGCUGAACUAAAUGAUUUUUUGUAUUUCCCUUAGUGAAUGAUUAAGAUAAUGAUUUUUGUCAUUUUUUCUUUUUGGAGAAUUU
rnacentral:misc_RNA from 1 species